AGGCAAGAAGCAAGUAAAGCCAAGAGGAGCCACAAGUGGUCCUGAGACUAUCAGUCUCUCGGAAUUUUCAGAAAUCGUGGAAGGACCUGGAACUUCCGCAGGAUGUCAGGUUAACAUUGGGAUACCUUCUGUGGCCAAAGGAGUCAGGGAUUCCCUGGGGAGCUGAACCCAGACUCUUUCUGGCUAAAUGACUGUGCUGAGCUGCCACUUCUCCCCUGCUGUGACCACCCCGCAUGGUGCCAGGGAUGUCUGAGGACUCAGUGACCUUCAGUCUCCGGUCUUGGUUCUGGUUCCAUUAAACACAGAAAUAAAGGAACGUAGAAAGCGCCCUCGGAAGGUGCCUUAGGAGACCCACUAUUAUUUUUUUCACUUUACAGAGGAGGAAAUGAGGAUGAAAGAGAUGUCAACUGACUGGUCCACCAACAUCCAGCUGGUGAAUAGCACCCAGGCCUUGAACACUUCUGACCGGAAGCACUCCUAUCUUCCCCUCUGAACAUUACAGUUUAAAAAUUAAAGAAUGGAUCAACUCAGGCCACAAAGGAGUAGGAUUAUAUAAAGAUGAUGAUGGAGACUGAAAUAAAUUCACUUUUGUCUGAAAUAACGGUCACAAAGAGCAAGGAGUUCAAAAUUCACAUUUUGAUUUAAGUCUCUGGCUAUCAGGGUUAAAAUUAUAGCAUUUAAAAUGCCAGAGUUAAGAGAAAAAAAGGAAAUUGCUGUGUAAAGUUAGCAAAGAAAAGAGGACCAUUAAAACAGCAGGAAUGAAUCAAACCCAGAGAGCAUGAAACAAGAAGACAUCAGCCGGCUCAAACUUACCAGUUAUGACUGUGGGGAGAGGCCAAGCCUCCCGGCUCCCGUUUAACUAUAAAUCGAGACAAAGUGACAGAAAAAGGUUGGGAGUAAAAGACAGAGCAAGGAGUUACCUUAAAAAUACAAGUGAAAAGCGGCCAAGGAC
ensembl:lncRNA